GUAAGAAAUAAUAAACAUUUCAAUGUUCAUGAAAGAAGUAAUGAGAGGGUUUUCAUAAAGCCUUUAUGUAUCUUUUAAACUUAUGUUUAUUUCUUAUGCCAUUAAAAAAUAAGUCAGGACACUGUGGUGUUACACAACUUGGUCUUUUUCCACAUCUAGUGACUGAUAUAAACUACCCGUGCAGACGAGAAACCGGAGGAGGCAAAGCUUCAUGUCUGAGAUGGGAGAUUUGAGGCCACCUCCCCAACCCCUCCCCCUUGGUAACCACUAGUCACUUUUCAGUGUCUGAGAUACUAGCUCUCUUCAAAAAUGGAGGACGGGAAGCCCGUCUGGGCACCACACCCUACAGAUGGAUUUCAGAUUGGCAGUAUUGUGGAUAUUGGCCCUGACAGCUUAACAAUUGAACCCCUGAACCAAAAAGGCAAGACGUUCUUGGCUCUCAUAAACCAAGUGUUCCCUGCAGAAGAGGACAGUAAGAAAGAUGUGGAAGAUAACUCAAUAAAAGAUGGCAAGGCUGCCUGGGCUCCUUUGGCUACACAGAGGGCUGGGAGAUCAAUAUCUCGUCAUCUCCUGCCUCUGGUCAAAGUUCUUCGUAUUCCUACAUGAAAAGUACAAGGUGCAAAACAGUGCAUUUGGAAGUGCUGUUUUCAGAAAAGGAUAUACAUGGAUAUGUUUGCAUAAGCAAAGAAAAUGGAAGGAUAAACAAGAACAAAGGUGGUCUGUAGGGAGGAGAGCUUGGUGACCAGGAAUCAAGGUGGAACAUUUUCAUUGUAUACUCUUGAAUUUUGUACCAAAUAUAAGUAUUACUUAUUUAAUAAAUAAAUAUAUGUAAAUACAUAAAAGAUGCCUUUGAUGAAUCAUUUUGCAAGGUUCAUUUGUAAUACAAACAGUCACUCCCUAAUUUGCUUUGGAAAUGUUGACAUUUGUGUACUGGAUUUUCUUAAAGCAUGAAAUACCAGAGUAUGCAAGCCACACCCUGAGUGUUCUAAAUUUGAGGUCACUGACAAAACCAGCCAUGCAAGUGUGACUUUCCAAAGGCCAAACAUUGUCAAGAGAGGCAGAGUAAGUAGCAGGGGGCUUAAUGCAUUCCUAGCAUCUGAGAUGUCAGAGAGACAGGAUCUUGGAGUUGUUACAAUCCCCUUUCUUUAUAAAUGAGGAAACUAAAGCCUAAAGGGGAAAAUACUUACCUAAUAAAGAGGUCAUGGCAUUUUGUGUAAAUAAAUGAGAAAAGUAAUCAUCUAUAUCCAUGUUUGCAUAAAAAACUCUGGAAGGAUACAUAAAACACUAAUAUCAAUGGCUUCCUGUGGAGAGGAAAGGUGAGAAGUCAGAGGGUUGGAGACAGAGGCAGGAAUGAGAUUUUCACUUUGAACCUUUCAUAAACCUUGAUCUAUUUUUGAGCAAUACAAACCUAUUUAAAAACGUUAUAAAGAGAGAUGGACCAUGGCAUAUGACUAACACUCCAGUUUUCAAGGAAGACACUGAGGCUAUGGGCUCAGAGAGAAAUGGAGAAUCUCGUGUUGAAACCACAUGUCAACUCUGUUGCUUCAAAUGUUGGUGACAACCUGAAUUAUUUUGUCAUAUUGAGAUUUGUUUGAGAUAACAUGGGCCAUCAGCUGGGCUUAGGUCUCAUUUUUGAUUAUAGGCAGAUUUAUCAAAAUUGUGCAGUUAACAGCUCAUUGCUAGUCUAUGGAUUCAGUCAUAAGGAGAGGUGCCACAGGGCAAGAGAAAGAUAAGUGGACAGGAAAGAUCAGUGAUUCUAACCAUGCUUUGCAUUUUAAUUCACCUAUGACUUUGGGCAACCUAAUUCCUCUCUUUAGGGCAGUUUCACAUCUGUAAAUUGUAGGGAUUAGAGGAAGUGAUCUCUAGUUUCCUUUUAGCUCUGAUAUUGGAUUCCAAAGCACUUGUCAGCAAUUUAGAACUAAAGGAAUUUAAAAGACCAUUUUUCAAAGCCAGGAGAUGGUAAUGGGCUGUUGGGUCUCUUUGCUCACUGAUGUGAAGCUAUGCAAGAGCUAGCAAGUCCCUCUUUCUGAUGGUGACUGUCUAGAUCUGUGUUUCUCAGAGCACUAGUUUAGGGAAAUGUUAAUCAGUACUCCAUGAAACAUAGUCAUAAAUAUGGGCAAUCCUGUAUAAUAAAUGUUCCUGAUAGAGAGUUACAAUGCUAUUAAAGGUCUUGAAAAGUUCUGCAGUAAAGAAACUCACAUUAUUUUACUUAAUCGAAACAUUUUCCAAAUUUACGGAUAUGGAUCACUCUGGUGCAUCCUAUUACGUCUAUUUGGAAUAAAUGGGAUUUACAUGCCUCCAUUUUUAGGAAAUUGAUGAGAUCAGCUACCAGUUUGCAGUUGGGACAGUCCUAGGGCCUCUGGAAACAUGGGAAGACUUACCACAUUCCUAAAGGGAGCCUGAGAAUCUUGUGAUUCAUGCAGCUCUCCACCCCACCAGUUGAACGAAAACUUUCAAAAGUGCGAGCCUCAGCAACUCCCUCAUAUUACAGGAAGGUUCCUAAGCACAAUGAGGUCAGUGGACAUCAUACCACUUUCACUUCUGGCUUCCAGAUUUAUUUUUCCUUUGAGGAACUUGUUUUUGUCACUCUUUCUGUUCAGCAUUAUAGUCCUCUUUCUCUUCAUAUUCUGUAAGCCUUUUAUAAUUUCCUCCCUGUUGAUAUUUUCAUUCCCAAAUAGGUAGGUGGGAAAAGUUUAUGCAUUAUCUAGGUAUGAACCUGCCACACUUCACAUCCUUCAUUAGUUUUGAGAUUUUUCACCCCAGUUCCCCCAAGAAACAUCGAUUCAUCAUCACACACACACACAACACAGUCAUAUGGAAAAAAUUAAUUUAAAAUCUGUAUUUCUUAAGACUUCUCGAUUUUUUUUGGCCCCAUCAUUAAGCAUUCAGUUUAAAGAAAAUAAAAAUGUCUAAACAGGCAAAAUCAUAUGAUCAAAGCUAUCAGCGUACUGUGCGUUGGCAUAUCUGAAACCAAAAAACAACAUAAAAAGUUACUUUUGUAUUUAGUGCUUUCUCUAUUUUGAGGUUUUCAGGUUUGUAGCCUAAGCAUUGGGAUAAAAAUGACAAGACAGCUGUUGCAGGUCCAGUUAAUGAUACUAAUGCUUCCCUGAAGGACUGAAGCUGCAAUACAUUUUCUUCUCCAGGGCAGGUGUGGUUAUUGGCAGUUACCACACAAUAUAUGCUGUCUGAGCUCAGCACUAUCCUUCCUGCUUUCUCAGAACAGUGGGAAAGCAAUGGAGAUGAGAAGGCAUCUGAAUGGGAGUGGAGGAGGUCCCCAGUGGCAUCUCCUUUGUCUCCCUAAGCACAUUUCCAUGAUGAGUUGUCUUAAUUCACCUGGGAAGUAUUUACUGAACUCUAUAGUUGAUACUUAAAGGGAAGGCCAUGAAAUUAAGUGGGAGAGGGGCACUGAAAACCAAACCAAACCACAGGAGGAGAGAGGUUACUAGGAGAAUGGAAGGUGUUAUUGUUAAUUUUAUGUGUCAACGUGGCUAGUCUAUGGUGCCCAGUUUGGUCAAACACUAGUCUGGAUGUUACCUCUGAAGAUGUAUUUUAGAUAUGAUUAACAUUUACACUCACUUGACUUUUAGUUAAGUAGAUUACCCUCCAUAAUGUGGGUAGGUCUCAUCUGAUCAGUUAAAGACCUUACAGACAAAGGCUAAGGUGUCCCAAGGAAGAAGGUGUCAUCCUCAAGAUGACAACAUAGGAAUCCUGCCUGAGUUUCCAGCUUGCUUGCCGAUCCUGUGCAUUUCAGACUCAAGACUGCAACAUCAACUCUCUCCUGAGUUGCCAGCCUGUGAGCCUGCCCUACAGAUCUAGGACUUGCCAGCCCCCACAAUCAUGUGAGGCAGUUCCUUAAAACUCUUUUUUUCUCUAUACUAUUGCUUCUGUUUCUCUGGAGAACCCUAAUACAGAGGGCUCCAGGAAAGAGGAUCCUAGAGAAAAAAAUGGAGAUAGACUAAGUGUAAAUUUGACCAUAAUCUGAGAAAAGUUUUCCAGUUUUGGCAGAGAGCUUGCAGAUAAAUAAGAUGUUUUGAAGCAACACUGCAUAAGGGAAAAAAUUGAGGCAAUUGUUAACUCCAGGGAAAACAAAAAGUGGUAUAAGAAAACAAGGUAAUUAUUCUGCCCUCCUUGGCUCAGUUGUAAAUAUCGAAUAUUGAUUUAAAGAGAAUGGGGUGGUGGGAGAAGUUAGGUGGAAGUUGUGGCAUAAGUGAGUUAAAUCCUUGUCUUCAUUGAAAAAAUUAAAAAGUAAUAUAAAACUGAAAAUUUAAGAAAUAGCAAUGUUAUUUAGAAGAAACAACUGAAAGUGUUGAAACCAGCUGCGUCUGUUGUGUGAAUCCUGUGGGAGUGGGUGGGACAAGGAACUGCUGUUUAUCAUUUUAAGUCUAGUAGAUUGUUUGGUCUUUUUCAAACAUGUAUUACUUUGAUACAAAUAAAAACUAAAUAGUUAUGCGGGAAUGUACAGAAAAGUAUAAAGAAGAAAAUAAUAACCAGUCAUAAUUCUUCCACUCAGAGAAAGCAGCUAUGCACAUUUUAGAGGAAAAGGUUUAUUAAAAGAACUGGUUGAGAUUAAAUUGCCAGAGACUGAGGAUGUAAGAAUAUCACAAUUUCUAUGAUGUAACAAUGAACUCAUCUUGUACAUUUCCUGUGCAAGUUCUGGAAUCAGUCAUUUCUCCAAGGAACCCUAACUCCUUUCACUGAGAAAUGAUAUUACAAGACCACAUCUGGGUACUAGGAGUGCUCUUUGCUGUUGGCUCCUUCUUUCUAGGCCAAUUCAGUGAACAGUAUUA